UACGUAGGGUGCAAGCGUUGUCCGGAAUUAUUGGGCGUAAAGAGCUCGUAGGCGGUCUGUUGCGUCGGCUGUGAAAACCCGGGGCUCAACCCCGGGCCUGCAGCCGAUACGGGCAGGCUAGAGUUCGGUAGGGGAGACUGGAAUUCCUGGUGUAGCGGUGAAAUGUGCAGAUAUCAGGAGGAACACCGAUGGCGAAGGCAGAUCUCUGGGCCGUAACUGACGCUGAGGAGCGAAAGCAUGGGGAGCGAACAGG
rnacentral:rRNA from 1 species